UACGAAGGGGGCUAGCGUUGCUCGGAAUCACUGGGCGUAAAGCGCACGUAGGCGGCUUCUUAAGUCAGGGGUGAAAUCCUGGAGCUCAACUCCAGAACUGCCUUUGAUACUGAGUAGCUUGAGUACGGGAGAGGUGUGUGGAACUCCGAGUGUAGAGGUGAAAUUCGUAGAUAUUCGGAAGAACACCAGUGGCGAAGGCGACACACUGGCCCGUUACUGACGCUGAGGCGCGAAAGCGUGGGGAGCAAACAGG
rnacentral:rRNA from 1 species